GGUAAGGUGAUAUGAACCGUUAUAACCGGCGAUACCCGAAUGGGGAAACCCAGUGUGAUUCGUCACACUAUCAUUAACUGAAUCCAUAGGUUAAUGAGGCGAACCGGGGGAACUGAAACAUCUAAGUACCCCGAGGAAAAGAAAUCAACCGAGAUUCCCCCAGUAGCGGCGAGCGAACGGGGAGGAGCCCAGAGCCUGAAUCAGCAUGUGUGUUAGUGGAAGCGUCUGGAAAGGCGCGCGAUACAGGGUGACAGCCCCGUACACAAAAGCGCAUGUGCUGUGAGCUCGAUGAGUAGGGCGGGACACGUGGUAUCCUGUCUGAAUAUGGGGGGACCAUCCUCCAAGGCUAAAUACUCCUGACUGACCGAUAGUGAACCAGUACCGUGAGGGAAAGGCGAAAAGAACCCCGGCGAGGGGAGUGAAAAAGAACCUGAAACCGUGUACGUACAAGCAGUGGGAGCACAGGUUUACCUGUGUGACUGCGUACCUUUUGUAUAAUGGGUCAGCGACUUAUAUUCUGUAGCAAGGUUAACCGAAUAGGGGAGC
rnacentral:rRNA from 1 species